CAGGGAUUCACAUCAGUUAGUCAUGGCUACAUCCCAAGCAAGCUUCUGUGGUGUUCCCAAACGCGGUGUCAACAGGGACCCUGGAAGGAGGGCCAUGAGCCAAAGCGCUAUCAGGGGCCACAUGUGUGAAGUCAGAUGGCCCACACCCAGAGCCACUUGCCACUGCAGCUGCAAGAAGAGUCAGUUGAUACCAUGAGGCUAUGAAGGCCUAAUACAAAGAUGAUCCUGGCUUGUGAUGACAACAAACCAAACCAAACAAAACCCAACACACUGAAAGUCAGUUGCAACAAGUAAGAAAGGAAGUAUUGGAGCUCUCAUAGCCUCGCCUAGAAUUGGGCUUUUCCAGGAACCCAUCCUGUGAUGUGAACAUUGAUCAAUACACCCCAAGAUAGGAUGCACAGUGAGAACCAGAAAAACUCUUGUCUCACCCUCCUUCAGAAAAUGCACUCACCUCAUGAAAUGUUUGCAGGACUGGCCUGACUGGAAAGCACCGAAAAGAAACAUAUUCUUAGCAAAUAUUCCGAGAAUUUCACAUUCUGCAGAACUUCUUGAUUCGUAUGCAUUUCAUUUGAGUUGAAUACAAGUUCUUUAUGUCUUACUUGGCAAAUAGAAAUAAACUUUUGAAGCAUGAAAAUGGGAAGUUCGAAAUCUAUCCAAUAGGAAUCCUUCAAGCAUUUCAAACUAAGAAGUUCUCCCGUUACACUUACAUUUAAAGGUGAUCUCAUGAGCUGUCUAGAAGAAAGAAUUAGAAAAGAAGAGCUGAAAAUACAAACUUUUACAAACAACACUUACCACCUUCAAAUCAGUUGUUGUAAGAGAUGCCCAACUAAAAUAGUUUUGGGAUCGGAGUUGGAACCUUUUGGGGUGUUCUUGGAAACUACUUAUUAGCAUCGCCCCAAACUCUCAACUGACCUUGCAUUAUUAAAGUCUGUAAAGUUUUAAUAUCUCUUAAAAUUACUUGACCACAGAACUCUUCUCUCAUUUCAUACCGACUAAAUCUGAUAUUACUUAGGAUUAAAUUUGGGAUGCUGUGCUGGCUGGCCAUAUGUCAAGGAGAUGCACAAAUGAGACAUAUUUGAGCGGAGGGAACCUCAAUUAAGAAAACACCUCCAGAAAAUCUGGCUAUAAGGCAUUUUUUAUAAAUUAGUGAUUGAUGUGGGAGGGCCCAGCCCAUUGUGGGUAGGGCCAUCCCUGGACUGGUGGUCCUGGGUUCUAUAAGAAAGCAGGCUGAACAAGCCAUGAGGAGCAAGCCAGUAAGCAGCACCCCUCCAUGGCUUCUGCAUCAGCUCCUGCCUCCAGGUUCCUGCCCUAUUUGAAUUCCCAUCCUGACUUACUUCGAUGAUGA
rnacentral:lncRNA from 1 species